rnacentral:rRNA from 1 species
UACGUAGGGGGGCUAGCGUUGUCCGGAAUCAUUGGGCGUAAAGAGCGUGUAGGCGGUCCGGUAAGUCCGCUGUGAAAGUCGGGGGGCUCAACCCUCGAAUGCCGGUGGAUACUGUCGGGCUAGAGUGCGGAAGAGGCGAGUGGAAUUCCUGGUGUAGCGGUGAAAUGCGCAGAUAUCAGGAAGAACACCCGUGGCGAAGGCGGCUCUCUGGGACGGUACUGACGCUGAGACGCGAAAGCGUGGGGAGCGAACAGG